rnacentral:rRNA from 1 species
UACAGAGGGUGCGAGCGUUGUUCGGAAUUAUUGGGCGUAAAGGGCGCGUAGGCGGUGCGGUAAGUCACCUGUGAAAUCUCCUGGCUCAACUGGGAGCUUGCAGGCGAAACUGCCGUGCUGGAGUGUGGGAGAGGUGCGUGGAAUUCCUGGUGUAGCGGUGAAAUGCGUAGAUAUCAGGAGGAACACCUGUGGCGAAGGCAGCCCCCUGGGCUGAGAUUGACGCUCAGGCACGAAAGCGUGGGGAGCAAACAGG